UACGAAGGGGGCUAGCGUUGUUCGGAAUUACUGGGCGUAAGGCGCACGUAGGCGGACAUUUAAGUUGGAGGUGAAAGCCUUGGGCUCAACCCAAGAAUUGCCUUUGAUACUGGAUGUCUCGAGACCGGGAGAGGUGAGUGGAAUUCCGAGUGUAGAGGUGAAAUUCGUAGAUAUUCGGAAGAACACCAGUGGCGAAGGCGGCUCACUGGCCCGGUUCUGACGCUGAGGUGCGAAAGCGUGGGGAGCAAACAGG
rnacentral:rRNA from 1 species